AGUCACAAGAGGAUGGGAGAGGAGCAGUCUGCAAGCAGCCGUAGGAGCAAGACCUUGAGACGUGUCCAUCAAUGCUACGAUAGAUUCUGCUUUGGAGAUCAACAUGCUGUAUAUCACAAUAAUGAUGGGACUCACGGCAUGGAGGAUGGACAGAGGAGCUUUCUCCUGGAGUGGUAUUUCUGGAAUUUCUAGUGUCAGGUGCUACUUAAUAUCUCUCACAAGAAAAGAAGAAAUCCCUCUGCCUUUUAAUGUUCUGGGAAUAGAAAGAAUAAAGGAGACUGAGGUGAAUCCACCAAGGAGUAUAGCAAUUUCUAUUUGUCUCCUUAAUAGUCCAACACUUCACUCACACAACAAUGUUACGUAGUUUCAUCAAAUGAUGAGUCCAGCCCCUUUCUUCUGCAGAAAAUGUCAG